rnacentral:rRNA from 1 species
UACGGAGGGUGCGAGCGUUGUCCGGAAUCACUGGGCGUAAAGGGCGCGUAGGCGGCGCGGAUAGUCGGCGGUGAAAAGCCCGGAGCUCAACUCCGGGUCGGCCGUCGAUACUUCCGGGCUUGAGGCACUGUAGAGGCAGAUGGAAUUCCGGGUGUAGCGGUGGAAUGCGUAGAGAUCCGGAAGAACACCGGUGGCGAAGGCGGUCUGCUGGGCAGUUGCUGACGCUGAUGCGCGACGAGCGAUGGGGAGCAAACAGG